UACGGAGGGUGCGAGCGUUGUCCGGAAUCACUGGGCGGAAAGGGCGCGUAGGCGGCUGGGGAAGUCGGCGGUGAAAGCCCGGAGCUCAACUCCGGGUCGGCCGUCGAGACUCCUCGGCUCGAGCUCACUAGAGGCAGAUGGAAUUCCGGGUGUAGCGGUGGAAUGCGUAGAGAUCCGGAAGAACACCGGUGGCGAAGGCGGUCUGCUGGGGUGAGGCUGACGCUGAUGCGCGACAGCGUGGGGAGCAAACAGG
rnacentral:rRNA from 1 species